GGUCCAAUCUUCUCACUACCCACUUCAGGAUCCUGUAAAUGGACAUCAAGUGCAUGAAUAAAGAAAAAGAACUGAAUUGAUCAACAUCAACCUUCCUCCAACGCAGGGUAGUUUCCUUUUCAUGCAGUCUUUUAUUGACCUUGCUAAUCAGCAGUUACCAAUCCAACUUCCCCAGAUUCCUAUUGCUCAAUGAAAGAGCCAGAUACAUAAAAGGUAAACUCCCCAAUCUACAACCAACUACACUGGCUAGGAACCAGCUUCCCCAGAUUCCUAUUGCUCAAUGAGAGAGCCAGAUACAUAAAAGGUAAACUCCCCAAUCUACAACCAACUACACUGGCUAGGAACCCAGCUUCACCAACCCCCAUGCUGGUGCAAACAUAGAGCUCUUCUAAAAAUUAACCCUCAAGCAAGCAACAAGCUCGAAGGUCAGCAGAACAAACAUAAUGAAUAAACUCAGUCAAAAUCUGAAGAAACUCAUUUCCAAGAAAAGUUGCAACUACACAUUAUGCUUACUGAAUCUCAGGUGUUCGAAAAAACAUAUGCAUAUCUAAAUAACUUAAAGCAGAAAUUACCAGUAUGAUGUCACUCUAAAUCCCAAAAGCCUCAAUUACCCUCUCCUGUUAAACAAAGAAUUUCAUUUAAAUCACAAGACAUAAAACAUACCUAAAAGAAACCCAAGAUAGAAGAGACGAAUGGAGAAUCUCCCCGCUAAUAGAUAGCUAGCCCCAAAAAAUAGCUGUGAAAUCCUGAUUGUUGCCAGACAUCUAAUCCAACUUCAAGUAGACACUGUUGUUUAAUACUUUAACUGAAUAAUACAUAAGUUUAAAUUGGUUCAAUCUAGCAGAUAUGGGUUAUUAGAAAACUCGCCUCUUGAGUUCACUACUGCAG
rnacentral:lncRNA from 1 species